rnacentral:rRNA from 1 species
CCUUUCCGGGACUUAGUGCCGUAGCUAACGCAUUAAGCACUCCGCCUGGGGAGUGCGACCGCAAGGUUGAAACUCAAAGGAAUUGACGGGGGCCCGCACAAGCGGUGGAGCAUGUGGUUUAAUUCGAAGCAACGCGAAGAACCUUACCAGGUCUUGACAUCCCGGUGCCCGUCCUAGAGAUAGGAUUUUGCUUCGGCACACCGGUGACAGGUGGUGCAUGGUUGUCGUCAGCUCGUGUCGUGGGAUGUUGGGUUAAGUCCCGCAACGAGCGCAACCCUUAUUGUUAGUUGCCAUCAUUCAGUUGGGCACUCUAGCGAGACUGCCGGUAAUAAACCGGAGGAAGGUGGGGAUGACGUCAAAUCAUCAUGCCCCUUAUGACCUGGGCUACACACGUGCUACAAUGGCUGGUACAACGAGUCGCAAGUCGGUGACGGCAAGCUAAUCUCUUAAAGCCAGUCUCAGUUCGGAUUGUAGGCUGCAACUCGCCUACAUGAAGUCGGAAUCGCUAGUAAUCGCGGAUCAGCACGCCGCGGUGAAUACGUUCCCGGGCCUUGUACACACCGCCCGUCACACCACGAGAGUUUGUAACACCCGAAGUCGGUGAGGUAACCUUUUAGGAGCCAGCCGCCUAAGGUGGGUUUGAUGAUUGGGGUGAAGUCGUAACAAGGUAGCCG